UACGGAGGAUGCGAGCGUUAUCCGGAUUUAUUGGGUUUAAAGGGUGCGUAGGCGGCUUUCUAAGUCAGCGGUGAAAUUUUGCAGCUUAACUGUAACAGUGCUGUUGAUACUGGGGAGCUAGGAUUUGGUUGCUGUGGGUGGAAUGUGUGGUGUAGCGGUGAAAUGCUUAGAGAUCACACAGAAUAUCGAUUGCGAAGGCAGCUCACAAAGCCAAGAUUGACGCUGAGGCACGAAAGUGUGGGGAUCAAACAGGA
rnacentral:rRNA from 1 species